rnacentral:rRNA from 1 species
AUGCGAAGGUCCCAAGCGUUAUUCGGAAUCACUGGGCGUAAAGAGUACGUAGGCGGUUUGGUAAGUCAGGUGUGAAAUCCCGGAGCUCAACUCCGGAACUGCAUCCGAUACUGCCAGACUUGAGUAAUGGAGAGGCAGGUGGAAUUCUCGGUGUAGCAGUGAAAUGCGUGGAUAUCGAGAGGAAGACCAAUGGCGAAGGCAGCCUGCUGGACAUUUACUGACGCUGAGGUACGAAGGCUAGGGGAGCGAAAGGGAUUAGAAACCCCAGUAGUCC